CUUAUCAAGAGUGGUGGAGGGAACGGCCCUGUGAAACCCGGCAACCUGCGCAAGCAAGGUGCCAAAUCCGGCGGUGAAACGAGAGAUGAG
rnacentral:ncRNA from 1 species